AGUAACGCGUGAGGAACCUGCCUCAAAGAGGGGGACAACAGUUGGAAACGACUGCUAAUACCGCAUAAGCCCACGGCUCGGCAUCGAGCAGAGGGAAAAGGAGUGAUCCGCUUUGAGAUGGCCUCGCGUCCGAUUAGCUGGUUGGUGAGGUAAUGGCCCACCAAGGCGACGAUCGGUAGCCGGGCUGAGAGGUUGAACGGCCACAUUGGGACUGAGACACGGCCCAG
rnacentral:rRNA from 1 species